CUGGUUGGUAAUCUUCUUACCCUUAGCAUCAUACCCACUUUCCCUAUCAACAGAACUUUGUAAUCUUGGACCUGAAAGCAAACUAGAACACGCUUCUCCCUCCAAUUCAAUAACCCCAUUUCCACAUUUUCCACACCCUUCCACAUGGAAAUUGCAGGAUUCAUGCCCAAACCAAAUCAAAUCAAAAGGGAACCUAUUCUUCACCAACUCCUGAACAGCAUUAAUCUUUCUUAUUGGCC
rnacentral:misc_RNA from 1 species